GCAAACUUGGUCAUUUAGAGGAAGUAAAAGUCGUAACAAGGUUUCCGUAGGUGAACCUGCGGAAGGAUCAUUAAAAAGUAUCCGGCUUCGGCCACCAAACCCUCCCCGCCGGCGCCGGCCGGUCACCGCUCCGGUGAUCGACCGUGUGUUUGCGGAGAAAGGUCUACCCACUGUGAAAACCCCUUGUUGCUUCGGCAGCGCCUUCCCGUCCGCGGGAGGGGUCAGCCUGCCGGCGGCACCUCUGAAAACUCUUCAUGAAAUUUGUAACACAAACGUCUGACAGCGCAGUCGAAUGACAUAUAAAACUUUCAACAACGGAUCUCUUGGUUCCCGCAUCGAUGAAGAACGCAGC
rnacentral:misc_RNA from 1 species